UACAGAGGUCUCAAGCGUUGUUCGGAUUCAUUGGGCGUAAAGGGUGCGUAGGCGGCGCGGUAAGUCGGGUGUGAAAUCUCGGGGCUUAACUCCGAAACUGCAUUCGAUACUGCCGUGCUUGAGGACUGGAGAUGAGACUGGAAUUUACGGUGUAGCGGUGAAAUGCGUAGAUAUCGUAAGGAAGACCAGUGGCGAAGGCGGGUCUCUGGACAGUUCCUGACGCUGAGGCACGAAGGCCAGGGGAGCAAACGGG
rnacentral:rRNA from 1 species